AUAGCUCAUUGGCAGAGCACUUGCUUAGCAUGCAUGAAGCCUUGGGUUUGAUUCCCAGU
rnacentral:tRNA from 1 species